GCGUACGUGGCGGAGCGGCAAACGCACCAGACUGUAAAUCUGGCGCCCUUUGGGCUUCGCAGGUUCGAGUCCUGCCGUACGCA
rnacentral:tRNA from 1 species